rnacentral:rRNA from 1 species
CACGGGGGGAGCAAGCGUUGUUCGGAAUCACUGGGCGUAAAGGGUGCGCAGGCGGCCGGGUGUGUCAGAUGUGAAAGCCCGAGGCUCAACCUCGGAACUGCCUUCGAUACUGCGGGUCUCGAGUCCGGGAGAGGUGAGUGGAAUUCCUAGUGUAGAGGUGAAAUUCGUAGAUAUUAGGAAGAACACCAGUGGCGAAGGCGGCUCACUGGCCCGGUACUGACGCUGAGGCGCGAAAGCGUGGGGAGCAAACAGG